AUUGAACGCUGGCGGCAGGCCUAACACAUGCAAGUCGAGCGGAUGAAAGGGGCUUGCUCCUGGAUUCAGCGGCGGACGGGUGAGUAAUGCGCAGGAAUCUACCUCGUAGUGGGGGAUAACGUCUCGAAAGGGGCGCUAAUACCGCAUACGUUCUGAGGAAGAAAGCAGGGGACCUUCGGGCCUUGCGCUAUGAGAUGAGCUUGCGUCCGAUUAGCUAGUUGGUGGGGUAAAGGCCUACCAAGGCGACGAUCGGUAACUGGUCUGAGAGGAUGAUCAGUCACACUGGAACUGAGACACGGUCCAGACUCCUACGGGAGGCAGCAGUGGGGAAUUUUGGACAAUGGGCGAAAGCCUGAUCCAGCCAUGCCGCGUGCGGGAAGAAGGCCUCGGUUGUAACCG
rnacentral:rRNA from 1 species